rnacentral:rRNA from 1 species
GAUGAACGCUGGCGGCGUGCCUAAUACAUGCAAGUCGAGCGAACAGACGAGGAGCUUGCUCCUCUGACGUUAGCGGCGGACGGGUGAGUAACACGUGGAUAACCUACCUAUAAGACUGGGAUAACUUCGGGAAACCGGAGCUAAUACCGGAUAAUAUAUUGAACCGCAUGGUUCAAUAGUGAAAGACGGUUUUGCUGUCACUUAUAGAUAGAUCCGCGCCGCAUUAGCUAGUUGGUAAGGUAACGGCUUACCAAGGCGACGAUGCGUAGCCGACCUGAGAGGGUGAUCGGCCACACUGGAACUGAGACACGGUCCAGACUCCUACGGGAGGCAGCAGUAGGGAAUCUUCCGCAAAGGGCGAAAGCUUGACGGAGCAACGCCGCGUGAGUGAUGAAGGUCUUCGGAUCGUAAAACUCUGUUAUUAGGGAAGAACAAAUGUGUAAGUAACUAUGCACGUCUUGACGGUACCUAAUCAGAAAGCCACGGCUAACUACGUG